UACAGAGGUCCCAAGCGUUGUUCGGAUUCACUGGGCGUAAAGGGUGCGUAGGCGGUCGGGUAAGUCUGAUGUGAAAUCUCACAGCUUAACUGUGAAACUGCAUUGGAUACUAUUCGGCUUGAGAGUUGGAGGGGGGACUGGAAUUCUUGGUGUAGCAGUGAAAUGCGUAGAUAUCAGGAGGAACACCUGCGGUGUAGACGGCUUUCUGGACCAUUGUUGACGCUGAGACACGAAAGCGUGGGUAGCAAACAGG
rnacentral:rRNA from 1 species